GCUGCCGUAGCUCAGUGGUAGAGCGCGAUCUUGGUAAGAUCGAGGCCGUGAGUUCAAUCCUCACCGGCAGCUCCA
rnacentral:tRNA from 1 species